rnacentral:sRNA from 2 species
CCGGGCGGAACGCCGAGUCCUGCCGCCGCCCGGCGCCUCGAACAAGGCACGCAUGGCAGGAGCGGGGGACCCAAGGUAAGUCGCCGAACCGGUGUGAACCGGGACGGCUUGGGGUGAAGCCGCAUUCCUGCGGCCGGGCAUCUCCCGCCCGAACCCGACAGCUCACCUCGUAGGCGUCGGAGAGGACUA